rnacentral:lncRNA from 1 species
CCCCAAAUCCACAUCAGGCGACAAACAUUUCCACGGUAUUUCUACUCAGACAAACAUGGAAAUCAACAACAGAGAGAGGAAGAAGACAACAACAGAGAGAGAUAGAGAGAAAGAGAGACGACGGUAGUUGCUGUUUCCGACGCCACCUCCUACCGGCAACGGAAUCAACUGAUGGCAGCGAGUCUAGGUUUUCCGUUGGCCCUUUCUGAUUAUGGUUGAAGGAGUGAACCGUCGUUGGGUAUUCUUCUACUCUGUUCGUAGAAAGCAGCCAGCAGAAAUUGAUACAGCAUCAGCUCAUCCAUGCAAAAGGCUACGCCAACCGAUAUGCUUUCCAGAUUUAAUAAAUUUAAAAAGUUAACUUUUUCGAAGGUAAAGUCCAGUGGACCAAAUUUGGGUAAUCUAUCUUAAAAACAUUCUGAGCUAAUUUGACUCCGGUGAAGAAUCCGGUUACCAAUAUGAUAUUGUUGUCACAGAAAGAACUUUGGUCAACAGGUGGCUGCCGGCUUAGAUGAGGGUGCCGAUUAACAGUUCAUAUUCAGUAAGGUCUUGAUGAUGGCAGAAUAUGGCGGUGAAGGAUCAAUAGGGGGCCCAAAGAACUGUGCGCAACAAAGGACCAUUUGCGCAUGCGAGCAAGAUACAGGUCCUGUUUGGGUGCGAUGAUCAUACUUGGUUAUCAAGGCAGAACUUGAGUCAAAAGGCGAGUCGACUCAGUCAAACAAAAACCAACAACAAUGUUGAUGCCACUCAUACCAUGUACCAUUUACAUUUUAUAAUUUCUUUCGCAUACCUUGCAACUCUU